rnacentral:rRNA from 1 species
UGAUAAAAAAUCUAACCUGCUCUAUGUAAAUGGCCGCGGUAUAUUGACCGUGCUAAGGUAGCAUAGUCAUUAGUUUUUUAAAUGGAGACUGGAAUGAAGGGUUGGACAAGAGAGAGGCUGUCUUGAGAUGUUGAAAUUUGUUUUGAUAUGAAAAAAUAUGGGGGAAGAGAAGACCCUAUUAAGCUUAACUGUUUUACUGGGGCGGUAAUGAUGAAAGAGAGAAAAAGUUACUAUAGGGAUAACAGCGUGAAAUGUUCAGAGAGUUCAAAUUGAAGAACGGUUUUGCGACCUCGAUGUUGAAUUAAGGUUUUUUGGUGUAGGACUUUUAAUUGCUUACA